AAGAGGGCAUUGACUUGCUACUGUUCAAUCUUCUUAUCCUCAAUUGUUUGAUGGACAAAAGCGGAUAUGUGUGGCGAAGAAGUUUGGACGACUUCUAUCUGAUUGAAACUUUACCUAUUAUGAUCCACGACACUUCAAGCAAAAACGAUUACGCUCACCAAAUAUUUGGCAUUCUGCCCGAAGUGACGUGUAGAUCACCGACAGAGAGCUUAAACAUCUACAACGGUAUUCCUCAAGUGGCAAAUAUAGGGCUUAGACAAACGGAUCAGCUUUUUGACGAACAGAAGUUUCGUAGUCCGGUUUUUCAGCGUACUUAUCAAUACUUGCGAAGGUUGGAUUUAGGACAAAACUUGACCGAUGUUCAUGCCCAAAACCCUGAAGGAGAUCAGAAUGC